AAUAAAAUUAACAAUAGAGGUGGCUAGCAUAAUGGUGUUGGCAUAAUAGGGAAACAGGUUAAAUUCCUGUACGGUACCGCCGCUGUGUAAGAGGAAUUUUUCCAUGAAUACCACUGUUUUUCGGGAAGGUAGGAAAAGUGAGGACGCUUGAGUCAGAAAACCUGCCUUUAUUGAUGUCUUUUU
rnacentral:ncRNA from 2 species